rnacentral:rRNA from 1 species
UGCAAGUCGAACGGUGAACACGGAGCUUGCUCUGUGGGAUCAGUGGCGAACGGGUGAGUAACACGUGAGCAACCUGCCCCUGACUCUGGGAUAAGCGCUGGAAACGGCGUCUAAUACUGGAUACGAGUAGCGACCGCAUGGUCAGUUACUGGAAAGAUUUAUUGGUUGGGGAUGGGCUCGCGGCCUAUCAGCUUGUUGGUGAGGUAAUGGCUCACCAAGGCGUCGACGGGUAGCCGGCCUGAGAGGGUGACCGGCCACACUGGGACUGAGACACGGCCCAGACUCCUACGGGAGGCAGCAGUGGGGAAUAUUGCACAAUGGGCGCAAGCCUGAUGCAGCAACGCCGCGUGAGGGAUGACGGCCUUCGGGUUGUAAACCUCUUUUAGCAGGGAAGAAGCGAAAGUGACGGUACCUGCAGAAAAAGCGCCGGCUAACUACGUGCCAGCAGCCGCGGUAAUACGUAGGGCGCAAGCGUUAUCCGGAAUUAUUGGGCGUAAAGAGCUCGUAGGCGGUUUGUCGCGUCUGCUGUGAAAUCCGGAGGCUCAACCUCCGGCCUGCAGUGGGUACGGGCAGACUAGAGUGCGGUAGGGGAGAUUGGAAUUCCUGGUGUAGCGGUGGAAUGCGCAGAUAUCAGGAGGAACACCGAUGGCGAAGGCAGAUCUCUGGGCCGUAACUGACGCUGAGGAGCGAAAGGGUGGGGAGCAAACAGGCUUAGAUACCCUGGUAGUCCACCCCGUAAACGUUGGGAACUAGUUGUGGGGUCCAUUCCACGGAUUCCGUGACGCAGCUAACGCAUUAAGUUCCCCGCCUGGGGAGUACGGCCGCAAGGCUAACACUCACAGGAAUUGACGGGGACCCGCACAAGCGGCGGAACAUGCGGAUUAAUUCGAUGCAACGCGAAGAACCUUACCAAGGC